AACGAACGCUGGCGGCGUGCCUAACACAUGCAAGUCGAGCGCGAAAAGGGCAACCUGAGUAGAGCGGCGCACGGGUGCGUAACACGUGGGUAAUCUGCCUCAAAGUUUGGGAUAACCUUCCGAAAGGUUGGCUAAUACCGGAUAAGCUCACGAGGUCUUCGGACUUUGUGGGAAAAGGUGGCCUCUAUUUAUAAGCCAUUACUUUGAGAUGAGCCCGCGGCCCAUCAGCUAGUUGGCGGGGUAACGGCCCACCAAGGCUACGACGGGUAGCUGGUCUGAGAGGACGAUCAGCCACACUGGAACUGAGACACGGUCCAGACUCCUACGGGAGGCAGCAGUGGGGAAUUUUGCACAAUGGGCGAAAGCCUGAUGCAGCAACGCCGCGUGUGUGAUGAAGGUCUUCGGAUCGU
rnacentral:rRNA from 1 species